GACGAACGCUGGCGGCGUGCUUAACACAUGCAAGUCGAACGGUAAGGCCCUUCGGGGUACACGAGUGGCGAACGGGUGAGUAACACGUGGGUGAUCUGCCCUGCACUUCGGGAUAAGCCUGGGAAACUGGGUCUAAUACCGGAUAGGACCACUGCCUGCAUGGGUGGUGGUGGAAAGCUUUUGCGGUGUGGGAUGGGCCCGCGGCCUAUCAGCUUGUUGGUGGGGUGAUGGCCUACCAAGGCGACGACGGGUAGCCGGCCUGAGAGGGUGACCGGGCACACUGGGACUGCGGUACGGCCCAGGCUCCUACGGGAGGCAGCAGUGGGGAAUAUUGCACAAUGGGCGCAAGCCUGAUGCAGCGACGCCGCGUGAGGGAUGACGGCCUUCGGGUUGUAAACCUCUUUCAGCACCGACGAAGCGCAAGUGACGGUAGGUGCAGAAGAAGGACCGGCCAACUACGUGCCAGCAGCCGCCGUAA
rnacentral:rRNA from 1 species